CGAGUCCUUUCGUAUUUUGGUAAAAAAAGAUUUUGGCACUUUACAAUGAAUGAAUGGAAUAAAUACGUGCGUGUGGGAAUAUUUUUAGAAUUGAUCUCAUUUUUUCCUCCGCAAUAACCCCACCAAAAGGGUGAAAAUGAGUUAUUUCUCGUCUUUUUGUUGGUGGUCCUGAUAAAUCGAGGGGAAUUACAGAAUUAUCAAUAAGUCGUCUUCAGCUGCUGCUGACGUUGCUGUUGCAAAGGUAGGUAAUUGUUACAAUAGCCAGCCACAUUUCCGUUACAAAAAGAGAAAACAAAGAUGGGAGUUCAAGGCAUAGUUCUUAUGACUGCGAUGGUUUUUGCAAUUGGGUUGGCCAUAUAUGAAGUCUACACUGCUAGAAACAACACAGCUUCUUGUCACCAGAGCGACAAUAAGUAUACAUAUGUGUACACACCGAGGGUACAGGAAAGAACACCAGAUACAGCAGAUACAGGAAAGAACAAAAAAAAAAGAAGAAACUCGGUUCCGGAAUGUGUGAUAUGUUGUGAACCAUUGCCUGAAGGUGAUGGUGGCAUUAUUUUACCAUGCAAACAUAAAUUUCAUGAUCAGUGUAUCACAAGAUGGUUCAAAGAAAACAGAAGUUGUCCAGUUUGUCGCAAAUGUGCAUAAACUAAGAUACAGUAAUUUUUCUCAGCUAACAAAUCUCAACAUAUCCUAGGUUUAUUAGCAUUAGGAACAGCAUUACAGCUACACUCAUGCUUUUUUCCUAUUUUUUUAAAUAACCUUUGAUUAAUUAAAACAACUGAAAUCAUGACAAUUAUUAUGAGCAAUAUGUACAAUUUUGUGCCUUUCAGGAUGUUAACCGAAUUUUAACAUUUAUUGUUUCCUAAACUGUAUGUAGAAUUGUAGAAUGACUAGAAUAUUAAUUUAUUUGUCUCAUUGUUUCUUGUAGAAUAUAGUUUUUCAUUUUUUCUUGUAAUUUGAAUGAAAGGAAAAUGUACAGGUCAAAAAUAAAGUUUUUUGAACCAUUU